AUGGGGGUAUUCUUUCCGUGCGAGUUCGGAACGCGUUGCCACGGUGUGGCGUUCUUUAUUUAUUGCUGACGGGCCAGGGUACCUGUGUAACCUGCCCUUGACUCUGGGAUAACCCUGGAAACUGGGGCUAUUACUGGAUGCUACUUGUCCCCGCAUGGUGGUGUGUGGAAAGGGUUUACUGGUCUUGGAUGGGCUCACGGCCUAUCAGCUUGUUGGUGAGGUAAUGGCUCACCAAGGCGACGACGGGUAGCCGGCCUGAGAGGGUGACCGGCCACACUGGGACUGAGACACGGCCCAGACUCCUACGGGAGGCAGCAGUGGGGAAUAUUGCACAAUGGGCGAAAGCCUGAUGCAGCGACGCCGCGUGAGGGAUGACGGCCUUCGGGUUGUAAACCUCUUUCAGCAGGGAAGAAGCCACAAGUGACGGUACCUGCAGAAGAAGCGCCGGCUAACUACGUGCCAGCAGCCGCGGUAAUACGUAGGGCGCAAGCGUUGUCCGGAAUUAUUGGGCGUAAAGAGCUCGUAGGCGGUUUGUCGCGUCUGCUGUGAAAGCCCGGGGCUUAACCCCGGGUGUGCAGUGGGUACGGGCAGACUAGAGUGCAGUAGGGGAGACUGGAAUUCCUGGUGUAGCGGUGGAAUGCGCAUAUAUCAGGAGGAACACCGAUGGCGAAGGCGGUCUCUGGGGCUGUUACUGACGCUGAGGAGCGAAAGCAUGGGGAGCGAACAGGAUUAGAUACCCUGGUAGUCCAUGCCGUAAACGUUGGGCCACUAGUGUGGGGGACAUUCCACGUUUUCCGCGCCGAAGCUAACGCAUUACGUGCCCGUCCUGGGGAGUACGACCGCAAGGCUAAAACUCAAGGAAUUGUACAGGGGGCCCAGCACAAGCGGCGGGAGCAUGCGGAAUAAUUCGAUGCAAGCGCGUAAGUACCUUAACUAGCCUUGAACUAUUACCGGAUCGUCCCAAAGAAUGAUUCUUCUCUUAUGUGAUCAGGUAUUACAGUGUGACUUGAUGAUCUUCACCUCGUGUCCUGAAAUGUUGGAUUAAGUCCACAUACGAGCCCAAACUCCCUCGAUUCCAGUGUUGACAGCCUA
rnacentral:rRNA from 1 species